GACAGAGGUGCCGAGCGUUAGGCGGAAUCACUGGGCUUAAAGCGUGUGUAGGCGGAUCCGUAAGUACCUUGUGAAAUCCCACGGCUCAACCUGGAAACUGCUUGGGCAUACUGGCGAUCUUGAGCCUCUAGGGGCGACUGGAACAACGGUGGAGCGGUGAAAUGCGUAGAUAUCGUUUGGAACGCCAAUGGUGAAAAACAGGUCGCUGGGGGACGCGCUGACGCUGAGACACGAAAAGCCCAGGGGAGCAAAACGGG
rnacentral:rRNA from 1 species